GAGCGGACCGACGGGAGCUUGCUCCCUUAGGUCAGCGGCGGACGGGUGAGUAACACGUGGGUAACCUGCCUGUAAGACUGGGAUAACUCCGGGAAACCGGGGCUAAUACCGGAUGCUUGAUUGAACCGCAUGGUUCAAUCAUAAAAGGUGGCUUUCAGCUACCACUUACAGAUGGACCCGCGGCGCAUUAGCUAGUUGGUGAGGUAACGGCUCGCCAAGGCGACGAUGCGUAGCCGACCUGAGAGGGUGAUCGGCCACACUGGGACUGAGACACGGCCCAGACUCCUACGGGAGGCAGCAGUAGGGAAUCUUCCGCAAUGGACGAAAGUCUGACGGAGCAACGCCGCGUGAGUGAUGAAGGUUUUCGGAUCGUAAAACUCUGUUGUUAGGGAAGAACAAGUACCGUUCGAAUAGGGCGGCACCUUGACGGUACCUAACCAGAAAGCCACGGCUAACUACGUGCCAGCAGCCGCGGUAAUACGUAGGUGGCAAGCGUUGUCCGGAAUUAUUGGGCGUAAAGCGCGCGCAGGCGGUUUCUUAAGUCUGAUGUGAAAGCCCCCGGCUCAACCGGGGAGGGUCAUUGGAAACUGGGGAACUUGAGUGCAGAAGAGGAGAGUGGAAUUCCACGUGUAGCGGUGAAAUGCGUAGAGAUGUGGAGGAACACCAGUGGCGAAGGCGACUCUCUGGUCUGUAACUGACGCUGAG
rnacentral:rRNA from 1 species